AGCUAUGCACAGUGGCAGUAUCGUAGCCAAUGAGGUUUAUCUGAGGAGCAAUUAUUGCUAAUUGAAACUAAAUUUCAUAAAGGAAGCUGAGGUACAUGUUUCUAUUCCAUCACUGAUUUCUGAUAAUUUUACAGUUACUAGAAAA
ensembl:snRNA U4 U4 spliceosomal RNA